rnacentral:rRNA from 1 species
CCUACGGGAGACAGCAGUGAGGAAUAUUGGUCAAUGGUCGGGAGACUGAACCAGCCAAGCCGCGUGAGGGAUGAAGGUACAGAGUAUCGUAAACCUCUUUUGUCAGGGAACAAAGGCGGGGACGCGUCCCCGGAGGAGUGUACCUGAAGAAAAAGCAUCGGCUAACUCCGUGCCAGCAGCCGCGGUAAUACGGAGGAUGCGAGCGUUAUCCGGAUUUAUUGGGUUUAAAGGGUGCGCAGGCGGUCUGUUAAGUCAGCGGUCAAAGCCCGGGGCUCAACCCCGGCCCGCCGUUGAAACUGGCAGUCUCGAGUUGGAGAGAAGUAUGCGGAAUGCGCGGUGUAGCGGUGAAAUGCAUAGAUAUCGCGCAGAACUCCGAUUGCGAAGGCAGCAUGCCGGCUCCACACUGACGCUGAGGCACGAAAGCGUGGGUAUCGAACAGGAUUAGAUACCCCAGUAGUC